GUGCUCACUUUGGCAGCUCAUAUGCUAAAAUUGGAACGAUACGGAGAAGAUUAGCAUGGCCUCUGUGUAAGGAUAACACACAAAUACAUAAAGCAUUCCAUAUUUUU
rnacentral:snRNA from 1 species